rnacentral:lncRNA from 1 species
UUAGGGAGCUACCAUUUGAUUUUUAUGGGGGGGGCUAGGAUGAAAUUUGAAAAAAAUAGGCAGGACAGGAGUUUGAGUAAAAAAAAAGCAGGAUGAGACACUUGCAAAAAAAAAGUCAGGACGACAAUUUAGGUAAAAAAAAGUCAGGAUAAACUAAAAAAAAAAGGCAGGACCGAACAGAGUGAAAAAGGCAGGACAGAGAUUACAGCUAAAAAAAAUGCAGGACAUAAUUUUUCAUCCUAGCCCCCCCCCC